rnacentral:rRNA from 1 species
CCUACGGGAGGCAGCAGUGGGGAAUAUUGGACAAUGGGGGGAACCCUGAUCCAGCCAUGCCGCGUGUGUGAAGAAGGCCCUCGGGUUGUAAAGCACUUUCAGUGAGGAAGAACGCCUGGUGGUUAAUACCCAUCAGGAAAGACAUCACUCACAGAAGAAGCACCGGCUAACUCCGUGCCAGCAGCCGCGGUAAUACGGAGGGUGCGAGCGUUAAUCGGAAUUACUGGGCGUAAAGCGCGCGUAGGUGGCUUGAUAAGCCGGUUGUGAAAGCCCCGGGCUCAACCUGGGAACGGCAUCCGGAACUGUCAAGCUAGAGUGCAGGAGAGGAAGGUAGAAUUCCCGGUGUAGCGGUGAAAUGCGUGGAGAUCGGGAGGAAUACCAGUGGCGAAGGCGGCCUUCUGGACUGACACUGACACUGAGGUGCGAAAGCGUGGGUAGCAAACAGGAUUAGAUACCCGGGUAGUC